UCUGCUCCCCUCAGGAGCAAAGGCAAAUUCAUAACUGGCCAACAAAGCACCUUUGAAACGCAGCUGCACACCAGAAACACACUGCCUUUCUCCACCGAGACAACCCUGGCUUGACCAGAGAAAGAAAGGGAGGAGGAAAAAAAGGCCACAGUGCUGAGAAAGGAGGGGAAAGGAAGAGGGGCGGGCGGGCCAGGCCGCGGCCGGGUAGAGGGGAAGUUCGCCAGUGGCUCUCGGCCCAGUUGAACAUAAGCUUCACCUAGUAUAAUGCAACCUUCUUUGACUCCCCAUGAAUGGCCAUACAGACGCUCCGAGAGAGACUGCAACUACGCAGCUGUUGGCCCACAGGGCCAGGAAGGAAGAAGGCAGAUGGGUGGCGGACAAGACUGUCAGAUGAGAUGACGGAGGUUGCAGAGAGCUGGUGAAGAUGGAUUCGAUGAUGGAGAUAGAAAGCAACUGAAUUAACUGCUGUUCUGGAUGCCCGGAUACUAACCACGUGCUGUUAAGGAAUCAGGAAGUUCCGUGGCUACUUAUAACAAAGUCCCUGUGGGCCUAUUAUGAAAUCUCAAUCAACUGCCAUCCAAGAAAAUAAAAUACAGAAAAAUUCUAUAAUGCCAUGCAGAUGAGACCACGCGGGAAGCAGAUAUUUCAUUCUUUGAGAACUGGUACAAUGCCUUUUGAGGGCCUUUGGCAAUCAAUGCAGGUCAAAGGUCAUAAAAAUGCUUGUACUCUUUGACCCCGUAAUCCCAUUCUUUGAGAUUUAUUUCAAGGAAGUCACUGAAAAGAAGAAAUGGUGUAUGUAUUGAUAUAUUUAUAGCCGUGUUAUUUAUGAGCAUGAAAAACUCAGAGUAACUGACAGUUUAGCAUGGGCAAUGGAUAAACACAGCUAGGAAUGGAACAAGUUAGGUGUAAUGGAACAUGAUUUCUUUAUUUAAAAAAAAAUAUCGGUAAGGAAGUAGGACCAUGGGAAGAAGUUCUGAUAUAGCUACAGAAUUGCUGAAAUGAUACUGAAAUGUGACACAGGUGUAGAAAAAUCCAAGGGGAAUAUAAAGAAAGAAAACACAAUUAUUACAUAAUAUACAAUAGAAAUAGACACGAUGGUGGGAUUGCUGUGAAAUAUUAUAUGCCUAAGCCUCAACGAUCAAUAACUUUUUAAAUCACAGUUCUUUAACAAGAAAGAAAUGGAAAAAAAGAAAUAUAGGCAAAAUUUGUUUACGUUGAAUAUGCUCUUUUUUUCCCUGUGCUCUAACUUUUGUUCAGCAACAAAAAUCACUGACCGAAAAUUAGAACUCACUCAUCUGCUUAUCUUCCUCUUCCUCCUCUGUGGUGGGUCUUAUAUUAUUCACCAAAAAAGCUGUAUUCAAGUAAGAUUGCAUUAUAAC